AGGCUAUGAUGAUGAAAAGUCAUGCACCACUCUGAUAUAUUUUCAUUAACAUCAGUGCUGAUAAAAACGACUACCCAAACAUAUCUCUGAGCCU
rnacentral:snoRNA from 1 species